rnacentral:rRNA from 1 species
AACCCGUCUUGAAACACGGACCAAGGAGUUCAACAUGCGCGCUAGUCGUUGGGACUAGAAGCCCGCUGGCACAGUGAAAGCAAGUCACAGUGUCACGCUGUGUAUUGGCGAGAUCCCGUCACUUGGUUCGCAAGGACCGAGCCGGGCGCAUCGCCGGCCCAUCAUAAGCUCACGUGGCUGUGGUGGAGCUUGAGCGUGCACGUUGAGACCCGAAAGAUGGUGAACUAUGCCUGGGCAGGAU